AAAUCUUCACCUUAAAAUAUACUACAUUAGCUCCCACUGGGAGCCGCCAACACUCCAGCACCAGGAGGGCUGCCCGGGCUCUGAUCCACAGCGGGAAGGAUAGCCACGCCCUCUCCUGCCAGGAGCUGCCAUUGCUCCAGCACCAGGAAGAAGUACUUAGAAGACCCCAUUCUUGAGCCUUCUUAUCCCUCAACCAUGCAACCAACAUUUUCCCUCAACUCCUGAGCCAUCUUCAUAUCACCCCUCGAAGCCACUCUUCCUAUUGCCGACAUCACC
rnacentral:lncRNA from 1 species